rnacentral:rRNA from 1 species
AGCUCCAAUAGCGUAUAUUAAAGUUGUUGCAGUUAAAAAGCUCGUAGUUGGAUCUCGGGCACCAGCAUGUGGUACACUUAAACGUUGUCACUGCUUGUCUGGUCCUAAUUAAUCGGUUUGCCAGAUUAUGCCCUUCACUGGGUGUUUUCUGUGGCCGGUACGUUUACUUUGAGAAAAUUAGAGUGCUUAAAGCAGGCUUUAUGCCUGAAUAAUGUUGCAUGGAAUAAUAGAAUAGGACCUCGGUUCUAUUUUGUUGGUUUUGUAGAGCAUUGAGGUAAUGAUUAAUAGGGACAGACGGGGGCAUUCGUAUUGCAGUGUUAGAGGUGAAAUUCUUGGAUCGCUGCAAGACGAACAACUGCGAAAGCAUUUGCCAAGAAUGUUUUCA